AGGUUAAGUUAACAAGGGCGCAUGGUGAAUGCCUUGGCACUAGGAGCCGAUGAAGGACGGGACUAACACCGAUAUGCUUCGGGGAGCUGUACGUAAGCUAUGAUCCGGAGAUUUCCGAAUGGGGCAACCCAGCAGUUUUAAUCAACUGUUACCACUAGAUGAAUUCAUAGUCUAGUUGGAGGUAAACGCUGUGAACUGAAACAUCUCAUUAGCAGCAGGAAUAUAAAGAAAUUUCGAUUCCCUAAGUAGCGGCGAGCGAACGGGGAACAGCCCAAACCAAAGUGCUUGCACUUUGGGGUUGUAGGACUGAACAUUUGAGUUACCAAAGAACUUGAUAGUCGAAGGAUUUGGGAAAAUCCGCCAUAGAUGGUGAUAGCCCAGUAGAUUAAAUCAAAUUCUCUCAGUUCAGGAUCCUGAGUACGGCGGAACACGUGAAAUUCCGUCGGAAUCCGGGAGGACCAUCUCCCAAGGCUAAAUACUACCUAGUGACCGAUAGUGAACCAGUACCGUGAGGGAAAGGUGAAAAGCACCCCGGGAGGGGAGUGAAAUAGUUCCUGAAACCAUGUGCCUACAAUAAGUCAGAGCGCGUUAAUGCGUGAUGGCGUGCCUUUUGUAGAAUGAACCGGCGAGUUAUGAUCCCGUGCAAGGUUAAGACUAAAAAGUCGGAGCCGUAGCGAAAGCGAGUCUGAAAUGGGCGUUUUGAGUACGAGGUUAUAGACCCGAAACCAGGUGACCUAUCCAUGUCCAGGUUGAAGGUGCGGUAAAACGCACUGGAGGACCGAACCCGUGUAAGUUGAAAAUUGCUGGGAUGAGGUGUGGAUAGCGGUGAAAUUCCAAACGAACUUGGAGAUAGCUGGUUCUCUCCGAAAUAGCUUUAGGGCUAGCCUCGGAAUUAGGAUCAUGGAGGUAGAGCACUAUUUGGACUAGGGGCCCGUCUUGGGUUACUGAAUUCAGAUAAACUCCGAAUGCCAUUGAUUCAUAUCCGGGAGUCAGACGAUGAGUGAUAAGAUCCACCGUCGAAAGGGGAACAGCCCAGACCAUCAGUUAAGGUCCCUAAAUGUAUGCUAAGUGGAAAAGGAUGUGGAGUUGCAUAGACAACUAGGAUGUUGGCUCAGAAGCAGCCACCAUUUAAAGAGUGCGUAAUAGCUCACUAGUCGAGUGAUCCUGCGCCGAAAAUGUACCGGGGCUAAGCAUACUACCGAAACCAUGGAUGCGACCAUUAGGUCGCGUGAUAGGAGAGCGUUCUAAGGGCGGUGAAGCAAGAUCGUGAGGACUUGUGGAGCGCUUAGAAGUGAGAAUGCCGGUAUGAGUAGCGAAAGAUAGGUGAGAAUCCUAUCCACCGAAUGACUAAGGUUUCCUGGGGAAGGCUCGUCCUCCCAGGGUUAGUCGGGACCUAAGUCGAGGCCGAGAGGCGUAGACGAUGGAUAACAGGUUGAGAUUCCUGUACUAGUUAAGUGCGUUUGAGCAAUGGAGGGACGCAGGAGGCUAAGAUGUGCAUUCUGUUGGAUUAGAAUGUCCAAGCAGUAAGUCUGNNNNNNNNNNNNNNNNNNNNNNNNNNNNNNNNNNNNNNNNNNNNNNNNNNNNNNNNNNNNNNNNNNNNNNNNNNNNNNNNNNNNNNNNNNNNNNNNNNGGUGAAGAGUCAAAUGCUUUUCACUUUAAGGACAAGCUGUGAUGGGGAGCGAAAUUUAGUAGCGAAGCGUCUGAUGUCACACUGCCGAGAAAAGCUUCUAGUGAGUACUUAACUACCCGUACCGCAAACCGACACAGGUAGUCGAGGAGAGAAUCCUAAGGUGAGCGAGUGAACUCUCGUUAAGGAACUCGGCAAAAUGACCCCGUAACUUCGGGAGAAGGGGUGCUGAUCGCAAGAUCAGCCGCAGUGAAUAGGCCCAGGCGACUGUUUAUCAAAAACACAGGUCUCUGCAAAAUCGUAAGAUGACGUAUAGGGGCUGACGCCUGCCCGGUGCUGGAAGGUUAAAAGGAUGGGUUAGCUUCGGCGAAGCUCAGAAUUGAAGCCCCAGUAAACGGCGGCCGUAACUAUAACGGUCCUAAGGUAGCGAAAUUCCUUGUCGGGUAAGUUCCGACCCGCACGAAAGGCGUAACGAUCUGGGCACUGUCUCAACGAGAGACUCGGUGAAAUUAUAUUGUCCGUGAAGAUGCGGACUACCCGCGACAGGACGGAAAGACCCCAUGGAGCUUUACUGUAGCUUGAUAUUGAGUGUUUGUACAGCUUGUACAGGAUAGGUAGGAGCCAUAGAAACCGGAACGCUAGUUUCGGUGGAGGCGUUGGUGGGAUACUACCCUCGCUGUAUGACCACUCUAACCCGCACCACUAAUCGUGGUGGGAGACAGUGUCAGGUGGGCAGUUUGACUGGGGCGGUCGCCUCCUAAAAAGUAACGGAGGCGCCCAAAGGUUCCCUCAGAAUGGUUGGAAAUCAUUCGCAGAGUGUAAAGGCACAAGGGAGCUUGACUGCGAGACAGACAGGUCGAGCAGGGACGAAAGUCGGGCUUAGUGAUCCGGUGGUACCGUAUGGAAGGGCCAUCGCUCAACGGAUAAAAGCUACCCUGGGGAUAACAGGCUUAUCUCCCCCAAGAGUCCACAUCGACGGGGAGGUUUGGCACCUCGAUGUCGGCUCAUCGCAUCCUGGGGCUGUAGUCGGUCCCAAGGGUUGGGCUGUUCGCCCAUUAAAGCGGUACGCGAGCUGGGUUCAGAACGUCGUGAGACAGUUCGGUCCCUAUCCGUCGCGGGCGUAGGAAAUUUGAGAGGACCUGUCCUUAGUACGAGAGGACCGGGAUGGACAUACCUCUGGUGUACCAGUUGUGCCGCCAGGCGCAUCGCUGGGUAGCUACGUAUGGAUGUGAUAAACGCUGAAAGCAUCUAAGUGUGAAACACACCUCGAGAUGAGAUUUCCCAUUCCUUUAUGGAAGUAAGACCCCUGAAAGAUGAUCAGGUAGAUAGGUUAGAAGUGGCAGUGCGGUGACGCAUGAAGCGGACUAAUACUAAUCGGUCGAGGACUUAACCAAG
rnacentral:rRNA from 1 species